CACAUGCAAGUCGAGCGGAUGAAGGGAGCUUGCUCCUGGAUUCAGCGGCGGACGGGUGAGUAAUGCCUAGGAAUCUGCCUGGUAGUGGGGGAUAACGUCCGGAAACGGGCGCUAAUACCGCAUACGUCCUGAGGGAGAAAGUGGGGGAUCUUCGGACCUCACGCUAUCAGAUGAGCCUAGGUCGGAUUAGCUAGUUGGUGGGGUAAAGGCCUACCAAGGCGACGAUCCGUAACUGGUCUGAGAGGAUGAUCAGUCACACUGGAACUGAGACACGGUCCAGACUCCUACGGGAGGCAGCAGUGGGGAAUAUUGGACAAUGGGCGAAAGCCUGAUCCAGCCAUGCCGCGUGUGUGAAGAAGGUCUUCGGAUUGUAAAGCACUUUAAGUUGGGAGGAAGGGCAGUAAGUUAAUACCUUGCUGUUUUGACGUUACCAACAGAAUAAGCACCGGCUAACUUCGUGCCAGCAGCCGCGGUAAUACGAAGGGUGCAAGCGUUAAUCGGAAUUACUGGGCGUAAAGCGCGCGUAGGUGGUUCAGCAAGUUGGAUGUGAAAUCCCCGGGCUCAACCUGGGAACUGCAUCCAAAACUACUGAGCUAGAGUACGGUAGAGGGUGGUGGAAUUUCCUGUGUAGCGGUGAAAUGCGUAGAUAUAGGAAGGAACACCAGUGGCGAAGGCGACCACCUGGACUGAUACUGACACUGAGGUGCGAAAGCGUGGGGAGCAAACAGGAUUAGAUACCCUGGUAGUCCACGCCGUAAACGAUGUCGACUAGCCGUUGGGAUCCUUGAGAUCUUAGUGGCGCAGCUAACGCGAUAAGUCGACCGUCCUGGGGAGUACGGCC
rnacentral:rRNA from 1 species